rnacentral:rRNA from 1 species
UACGGAGGGGGCUAGCGUUGUUCGGAAUUACUGGGCGUAAAGGGCGCGUAGGCGGUGCGAUCAGUCAGGCGUGAAAGGCCCGGGCUCAACCCGGGGACUGCGCUUGAUACUGUUGCGCUGUGAGUCCGGGAGAGGAUGGCGGGAUUCCCAGUGUAGAGGUGAAAUUCGUAGAUAUUGGGAAGAACACCGGUGGCGAAGGCGGCCAUCUGGACCGGCACUGACGCUGAGGCGCGAAAGCGUGGGGAGCAAACAGG